rnacentral:tRNA from 1 species
CGUAACUUCUUCUAACGGUAGGAAUCCCGUCUGAUAAGCGGGCAAUGGCAGUUCGAUUCUGUCAGUUACGACCA